rnacentral:tRNA from 1 species
UCCCUGGAGGUCUAGUGGUUAGGCCACAGUGCUCUCACUGCUGCGGCCCGGGUCCGAUUCCCGGCCAGGGCA